CUGAAAAUGAUAUUUUCAAUUUGCUUGGGAUUGAUGGUCUGCAGAAUGUAUAAUCUUCAGGAGCCUGCUUUUACUUGGAUUACACAUCGGAUAUGUUCAACUCAAGACAGUUUUUAUUGUUUCUUGUGCCUUUCAUGUUUGUACUCAUCAAAUUCUCCGGAAGAAUGAGCAGUGAAUAAAUGCUUGCGGAAUAAAAAAGGAGAGAUUUGAGUCCCUAUCAAUUGCUUAGAUCAUUUGGAUUACACUUUUCAGUUCUGAGAAAGCUACAGUUCAUCUUUCUAGUAUUUUCUAUUGGUAAGAUUAUGCCUCAUGACAAUGGAUAACCAACUAAAUUUGUGCCUCCAUGGUCAUCCCAACAUCUCCAAUGCGUUGGACCAUACCAAUUUUUGUCUCUCUAAGAUGUAAUUUUAGCUUCAUCAGUCCAAAUAUGGAGCAACAGCUUAUGGAAGAUUAGGUUUCAGCCUCCGACUUAUUCAUACAAGCCAAUAAGGGAAACUUGGGAGACAAAAUACUCAUGAAAAAUGAAAAAUUGUUGUUAAUGUACGUCUUUCCUUGUGUGUGCAUGUCUGGAGCAACCAUUUUCCUUGCAAUCAGGAAGGUGAACUUUUUAAUAGGAACAUGCCAGGGUUUCCAUUCCAGUGCAUGUUAGGGUUUGGUGCCUUGGAGAGACAUUACUGUCAUAUUCUGAGACCAGAAUCUGAUAAAGAUGCAAAGAUAUACUUGGCAUGACGAUGGAGGAUUCUCUGUUGGUGUGACAUAAUCUGUGUUCCAGUUCACCACCAAUUAAGGUAUGCGAUAAUGGUUCAAGCUAGCCAUCUGAACCAAAUUAACACCACUUGCUGCAUAGAAUGUGUCGAGUUCCUCCCGCCAAUGGUGGUGUCUUCAAGCUGAGAACUAGGGAUCUUCUUACGAGUUGCUGCGAUCGCAGCAGCAACAAGACACAGAUCUCACUGUAAAGUGAAAUACAUGUGACAUUUCUCAAGUGUGAUCCAGAGUGUCAAUGCUGCUUUCGCGGUUUUGUGUUU